rnacentral:rRNA from 1 species
UACAGAGGUCUCAAGCGUUGUUCGGAUUCAUUGGGCGUAAAGGGUGUGUAGGUGGCGCCGUAAGUCGGGGUGUGAAAUUUCGGAGCUUAACUCCGAAACUGCAUUCGAUACUGCGGUGCUUGAGGACUGGAGAGGAGACUGGAAUUCAUGGUGUAGCAGUGAAAUGCGUAGAGAUCAUGAGGAAGACCAGUGGCGAAGGCGGGUCUCUGGACAGUUCCUGACACUGAGACACGAAAGGCCCAGGGGAGCAAAACGGG